UGAAGUCGCCCGUAGUUGUACUGUAGGUAUGAAAUGCCAAACCGUUUAUAUUAAAUAUAGUCAUUAAUACGCCUUAAUACCGUUAGCAAGGACCCCCGUAGACGCAAGUUUGUCUUUGAUACAACAUUAUUCUGGUAAUUGGCCACAAUUAUUAUUUGAGGUUAAGUGCAAUAUUAAUAUUAUGUAAUAGAAGAAUAUGCAGCUAGUUUUAUCGCCCUUCUUCUGUUCCUAGUAGCGGCAUAGCCAAGCCCACAUCGGACUGCAGCCAGCAGGGGAUUUCUGUAUCGUCGUCAUCAACGAGCCCCAGACUGUUGAUUUGUAUAUGCUCCCCUAUAAUACAGACAAUUUCCCGACAAACCUUUUUAACGGAUCGGAAUCAUCACCAGCAAUCAUCGUCUUUUAAAUAUUAAAACAACUGAAUGAUCACCAGACAGAAGCUGUUCCACAGCACAACCGUAUAAGCAACUAAACAAGAAGACAUAAAAAAUAAUGAGGUCUUUCAGAGAAUUGGCCAACGUUUUAAACUUUCUAUCUUUGAGAAGGCCUACUGCAGAUGGAUACGACAGUUGGCGAAUAACGAAGUAUAUACACUUACAAACGGCAAGAACAGAAAUGUAUACUGCCGCUCGGGGAUCUUUUUCAUUUUGCGUAAAAGAGCAAUACGGAUUUUUUUUUUGUUUUUAUACCUUUGGAUGUCAUUGAACCACCAGAACUUGGAAACGAACGCUCAACAGCUACAAUAUCAGAAGAACUUAGCUUUGCGAACUGAGAAACCUUCAAACUGCUUCUUCGACUUAAAACCAGUAAAUUUGAAACGUCAUUAACAAACAACUUUUGUAAACCUAUAGCAGAUGAAGAGUUUAAUUACGCAAUGAGUUUUGACUGCAAAAAAA